rnacentral:rRNA from 1 species
GAUGAACGCUGGCGGCGUGCCUAAUACAUGCAAGUCGAGCGAACGGACGAGAAGCUUGCUUCUCUGAUGUUAGCGGCGGACGGGUGAGUAACACGUGGAUAACCUACCUAUAAGACUGGGAUAACUUCGGGAAACCGGAGCUAAUACCGGAUAAUAUUUUGAACCGCAUGGUUCAAAAGUGAAAGACGGUCUUGCUGUCACUUAUAGAUGGAUCCGCGCUGCAUUAGCUAGUUGGUAAGGUAACGGCUUACCAAGGCAACGAUGCAUAGCCGACCUGAGAGGGUGAUCGGCCACACUGGAACUGAGACACGGUCCAGACUCCUACGGGAGGCAGCAGUAGGGAAUCUUCCGCAAUGGGCGAAAGCCUGACGGAGCAACGCCGCGUGAGUGAUGAAGGUCUUCGGAUCGUAAAACUCUGUUAUUAGGGAAGAACAUAUGUGUAAGUAACUGUGCACAUCUUGACGGUACCUAAUCAGAAAGCCACGGCUAACUACGGG